CCACUGGGCAGCUUGCCUUUUGGUCUCUCUCUGUUGUCUCGUUUCCCUGCACGCACUUGGCGACUGCGUGCGUGUGUGUGUGUGUGCGUGCUCGUUUUGCUGCUUGCGUUUUCUGUCUGCCGAGUCGUCAUCACUGAAAGCGUCGAGAAUCCUGCGGCUUAGCCCUUGCGCCAACCCCCUUCCCCUCCUGAUCGCGCCAGCCUAGGCGUGCGUGUUGCUCCUUUCGCCUCGGGCAUCGUAUUGCCACUACCGCGGCUUUGGUGACACUUCGCCUUUAUCAACCUGCACGUUACAGCCUUCCCUAUUCUCUACCCGCUUCUCGUGGUUCUCCUUCUAUCUGGGGUCGCGGAACUGGUUGUGAAGGACAUGCUUCUUGCGCCGUGUGCAUCCGUACCCCACACGAACACACGAGGCCUGGUGGUCAGCGAUGUCGAGCAAGGAAGAGUUGGCUGCCUUGAUGGCGUCCGACGGUGACUUCGAGAAGAAGAUCUCGUUGCUCAAGAAGGCGGUUGUCACGGUCACGAAGCAGAAGAAAGAGGUUGAGGCCCGUCAAACCCAGCUGCAGGGAGAGCUGAGCAGCGCGACCCAGCAGCUGGCAGAGGCGCAGCGGGUGAACGCCGCCCUACAGCGCAAAGUGAAGUCUCUUGAAGCGCAGCUAGAACAAGAGCGCAGCAGUGGGUCAGCGUUCGGCCAGAACAUGUUGAAGGGCUUGUCCUCAAUCAUGGGCAACAGUGACAGCACCAACCGUAGUGGCGCUCGCGGUGAACGCGGUUCAGCUAGUGACCAGCUGUCUUUGUCCCCGGCGGAUGUAGAGCGACUCAUCAGCGAGAAUGAGCAGUUGCACCGGCAGAUAUACACCUUCAAGACGAAACUCGAAGACGCGCAACACUCCAGCGCGAAGGAUGCGGAGAAGCUGAAGAGCGAUGUUGCACGUCUGCAACGCGAAACGCAGGAGCUGCGCCGUUCCCUUGAGGUAAACACCGCCACCGGCGACCGUCUUCGCGCCGACUACCUCACUGAGCGGGCUUUGGGCGACUUCUGCCGACACUUCUUUGUGGCCACGCUGCUCCGACCGCAGCAGGAACGGGAAUCGUUCCUUGCAGGUACCACGGUAGAGGUGCGGUGGCCUGCCAAAGGGCCGUCGUCGAAUUCGGCGGCGGCCGCCUUUUCGGACUCUCUGCCGGCAGUGGUGCGCGAGAGUGCUGCCCUCGCCCUGCGGAGUGCCGCCGGUACCGUCAAGACGCUUCUGCGCGGCGUCUCGGUGCUUGCAGUGGUGCUGCAGGAACAGCUGCCGUCGCGGGAGCGGGCAACCGUGAGGGACUUGGAGUGCCUGCGUGAUCGGCUCUCCGUAUUUCUGGAGGCGCACACGGCGAAGAAAGACAGUCUCAUGUAUCUCCUUGAGCAGCUGGACACUCAGCUGUCAGCGCUGCAGCACGCCGAUGAGGAAGGCUGCUCCGCCCCUGCCUCGGUUGAUGCCUUUGUUGAGGCUCAGGGCAAUAUUGUGCAGCUCGUGCUGGAGUGGGUCGGUCUUCUUCGAACACAGCUCCCGCUCUUCGUAGAGAGCUGUGUCGCAAUCCUGCCGCAUGGGCACUCCUACACUAUGUACACCGCACACGUCAGCGCCGGCACCGGCGAUGGCGCUGCUGCGCCACGAAAGACGACGUCCAAGCGCGGCGAAUUCGUCGAGGAAGUCACAAGACACGGCUAUGCCACUCUGGCGUCCAUUGAAGGGUCGCUUACGGCGAUGCGCAUGCUCAUCCAGCGCUCACCCACCGCGUACUACCGCUGCUACAAUAAUGGAAACCUAGGAGGCGGACCACCAGAACCGCCCACCACGAAGGAAACGCUCAACUUCACCCCCUUGUUGGAUGCCACGCAGCCGCCUAUGGAUCUUUCCUCGCUGCUGGCGCUGCAGCAGUUCUGGUGGGAGGGCUGCACGUCGGUACGUUCUUUGCGCGCGUCGAUUCGGGCGCUCAACAGCGGCUUAGUUGAUGUGGCGGAGGCCUGCAACAAGAGCGAGAUCCGCGACGCUCUGAACUACCUUUGCAAGUGCCUGGAGGCUAUAGCGGCAGCUUCGGAGGAGAUGAACGGCUCAUCGCGAUUGGUGCCAGCCGAUGCGGAUGCGGCCAUCGCCGCGCUGGCGCCUUAUGCCUUUGCUUCUCGAACGCCUGCCCACGCAUCAUCGAGUGAAGCGUCGUCGUGGGCGUUUCGUCCCAGAACUGCUAUCGCCACGUCGCCAACACUAACGGCGGAGGGCGUGCGCGACGCCGCCUACGCUGACAAAUACGAAGAGCUUCUUGUGGCGCUAUCGGCUGCCGAUCGUGCAGCAGCUAGCUAUUACACCCAAAUGAACUACUUGUACGUGGAAAUGGCCGAAAAAGAAGAUGCUCUGCAGACAGCGCUGGAGGCCGUCGCGCAUCUGCAGCAACUCAUCAUCGCAGAACGCGCGGAGGCGAAGCACACGCGCCAAGCCCUACAGAGCCAAAUCAGCCUACUGUCGACGCAGCUGGUCGAAAUGGCUGGUGCACCGGCCGCACAGUCACCGCAGUAGUGGGACGGCUCUCGGCAUUCGCCAUCCCAUAAAAAAGUUACUCAGCCAUCUUCUUCCUUUUUUGCUUUGCUGACAUGAGGACACGGCGCACACUUCUGCUCCUUGUCUUUUCCCUUUUCGCUUUCCGUCGUUUGAUUGCCUCCCCAACGGUAAACAUCAGGCACACCUAUAGCGAGGGAUUGGAGAAAUGCUCGCCACCGUCUCACCCCCUCCUGCCCCUCCCCACGCUUCCCGUGCUCUUGGCCUCACUGCUCCGCUCUCUCGGCUUGUCUCCCGGCUUUAAACGAAUGAGUGAGGAACCCUCCCCCCUUGCCCUUGGGCUCUGCGAUCCCCCUCCCUCUCUCUGUCACCGACCAUUGAAG
rnacentral:misc_RNA from 1 species